rnacentral:lncRNA from 1 species
GUUUAUGGAAUGUGGUUGGUAUGUAGCGUGAUUUGUUCCGCAUGUGUGCUGUAGUACACAAUUGAAAUUUUACUUAAAAAAAAAAAAAAACAAGGGAAGAGAUACGGGACAGGCAUGAUUGAGUGGAAAAUUGAGAAAGAAGCAUGGACCACACGCACUCUCGAUGAAGGACUGGUCGGCUCAUUCCGUCGGAAAACACAUCCAAAUUCCCUUUGGCUUUUUCCUAAUGUCCGCGGCAAUUAACAUGUUUGUCUAUCCAAAAUUGAAAGCGGUCGAUCGCUCGACGGUUCGAAGCGGAAGCCUGGCCGACUGGCAGUAGUGCAUGUUUGUCCCAUCACUUGUGCUUUCCUGAAGAGCCAGCCGCCGCCGGCCGGUUUCCAUGCGGAUGGGUGCUUCGCUUCUUUAGCUUCCAAUUAUUAAUGUAGCGGUUGAAGAAAAUCCAUAAAAUAAAGCAAUGAUUAGAGCUUUUGUAUUGCCAAGUUGCCUUUUGUAACAAAAAAAGCUCUUCAAAAGCUUUAUUUUUUAUAUAUACUA